UACAGAGGGGGCAAGCGUUGUUCGGAAUUACUGGGCGUAAAGGGCGCGUAGGCGGCCUGCUAAGUCGAACGUGAAAUCCCCAGGCUCAACCUGGGAACUGCAUCCGAUACUGGAUGGCUUGAAUUCGGGAGAGGGAUGCGGAAUUCCAGGUGUAGCGGUGAAAUGCGUAGAUAUCUGGAGGAAUACCGGUGGCGAAGGCGGCAUCCUGGACCGACAUUGACGCUGAGGAGCGAAAGCGAGGGGAGCAAACGGG
rnacentral:rRNA from 1 species